AAAUAUUACAGUCUCGGGAGAGUUGUACAAUAUAAGUCGUCUCAGUCUUUUAAGAACCAGCGUCGGGAACUAACUAUAUAACAGCUUUCGGGUGCUUAAAUCCUAACUAUUUGUGAAUCCUAAUUAUAUUUUCACGACAAAAAUGCUUAUAAAUCUGGGAACGUUAAUCCCGAUACUUUCGCUGUUGGUAAAAAUAUCGCUUGCAGAAAUACCCAAUUGCGAUAUCUUCGACACUGUAGACAUAACUUACAGCAAAAGGCUUAAUAAUGGAUCAUAUAUGUAUAAAGACAUAAACAUUCCUGCCGAUUUGACUGGAGAAUACGACACUAUACCAGGAUCAAUGGAAAAGGUUCCUCACCACUUAAGAGGAUGUAUCUGCGAUAUAGUAUUCUGUGUCAGGUUUUGCUGUCCGUCUAAUCAAAUAAUGAAAGAUGGAAAGUGCUUUGAUUACCUUACGAAGGAGGCAGAGGCAGACAGGUUUUAUGAUGCCCUAAAAGAGAUCAUCAACGACACAUCGGAGGUCGGAAUUAUCGCUCAACACAUCCCCUUGCCCUGUAAGCCCAAGAAUGUUUACGUCGUAAAUGAUCAAUUGGAAAAGGAAAAGUAUUCACUCUUUAGGAAUGGAACCCUUGGACUUGACUAUUACAAAGUAAACUACGAGAAGCCGGAAAUCUGCAUGCAAAACCAAAUGUUCCCAGACGGCAGCAUACGAAUGGCACCUCAUGUGUGCUUGGAAGAUAGUCCUCUUGAUGUGGGAAAGAUCACUUUAAUUAUGAUAUCGAUGAUAUGCCUGCUUCUUACCAUCGCUGUGUAUUUGUACGUUAAGAAACUACGAACUUCGCAUGGAAAGUGCUUCAUCUGCUACAUGACCUGCCUCUUUUUGGGAUUCCUGAUUCUGUUGCUUGACUAUUUUAAAUUGGCACAAGGCUUUUGUAAGACAGCAGGCUUCCUUGGUUACUUCUUUGUGAUGUCCACCUUCUUCUGGCUUUCCAUCAUCAGUCUGCAUCUUCGAAAUAAACUCUGCGGUCCCUCUUCGUUGGAUCGCUUCCGGACCUUAAGCGUUUAUGCCUGGAGCAUGGCGUUGCUCUUGACUGGUAUAACCUAUGUGGCCAAUGAGAAUGUAGAGAACCCAAAUUGGAAUCCUCAUGUGGGCAGCAACAACCAAUGUUGGAUCAAAACCCAUGACUGGAGUGCCAUGAUCUAUCUCUAUGGACCGAUACUAUGUGUAGUUGUCUUUAACAUAUCUAUGUUCGUUUCCACAACUAGUCAUAUAAUGCAGGUUGAAAGUAAUUAUGCUCUCAAGCUGAAAAUGAAGAAGCAACUUAUCAUGAUAAAGCAGACCUUUGCCCUUCUGUCACGACUCUUUGUCAUAAUGGGCAUUUCUUGGAGCUUUGACAUAAUCUCCUACCUUGUCCAGAACAAUAAGACUUGGGCCAGCAUCUUCUUAGUGGCUGACUAUAUUAAUUGCUCCCAGGGUAUUAUCAUAUUUGGGCUGUUUAUUCUUAAGGGCACUACGCUUAAGCUCUUGAAGGAGAGAUAUACUGGUGUCAAUGAUGAAACGCAGGUCGAUGACUGCGGCAUUCCGCAUGAGGAUAUGAAAUCUUACCGACGCAUGGCAUAAAACUAAAAGCAAAGUAUGAACGGGGAAGACCUCUACUUAAGUCUAUAAAAACUUAAAUAUUAGCUUUUUGACCAAUUUUAAAAGGUUUACCACUAAAAUGCUGACUAAAAUGUCUUGUUUAUGAAUUAAGAUUACAGAUUUGUAACCUCUCUUCACCUCCACUUCAACUAUAAGUAAAGAAUAAGUAAAGAUCUUUGUAAAAAUGAUCGACCAUGGAAAAUACCAGUAAAAUUUUCCCAUAAAGAUAUUGUGUCGUAAACACAGAUUGCAGUACCUAAAUUUUCCCUUACGAAAAGUUGAAAACAAAAAAGUCUUCUUACCAGACUUUAGACCUAAAGAAUUCAUUUAGGCUAGACUUAACCCGUAAACUUUCCACAGUCGAUCAAGGCCAUAAGAUCCUGUUAAGGACAUUUAAAAGAUAGUAACUUUUGCAUUCAAGAGAAAUGAACUUGA